GGGCACCCUCCAAGGAUGGUGAAGCCCCCAGGAACUUUGGCCCCAACCAGGACCGGGCCAGGGAUCAAACGUGCAUCCAAGGUACAAGGCUCAGCAGGAG